rnacentral:rRNA from 1 species
GACGAACGCUGGCGGCGUGCUUAACACAUGCAAGUCGAACGGAAAGGCCCUGCUUUUGUGGGGUGCUCGAGUGGCGAAAGGGUGUGUAACCAGUGAGUAACCUGCCCUUGACUUUGGGAUAACUUCAGGAAACUGGGGCUCAUACCGGAUAGGAGCUCCUGCUGCAUGGUGGGGGUUGGAGAGUUUCGGCGGUUGGGGAUGGACUCGCGGCUUAUCAGCUUGUGGGUGGGGUAGUGGCUUACCAAGGCUUUGACUGGUAGCCGGCCUGAGAGGGUGGCCGGCCACAUUGGGACUGGGAUACGGCCCAGACUCCUACGGGAGGCAGCAGUGGGGAAUAGUGCACAAUGGGGGGAAGCCUGAUGCAGCAACGCCGCGUGCGGGAUGACGGCCUUCGGGUUGUAAACCGCUUUCGCCUGUGACGAAGCGUGAGUGACGGUAAUGGGUAAAGAAGCACCGGCUAACUACGUG